UCAGGAACAGGAAUAAAAGUCUUCCCUCACUCUUUUUUCCUGCUGUGAAUUUUGCCAGAUACAGCAUGCACUUCUCAGUAGUGUACAGCUCUAGGCAAAGACGGCAUUCAUUGAAUCUUAUUUCACUACAUAUCUGUAGAGCCCUGCCUUGGGACUGCAACAGUGACGGAUGAAUGAUUUUCAAGACACAUUUGGCACAUCUCACCACUCUGCACCAUCAGAGGCAUCAGGGGAUGCAGCAGAGCAGGGGGGAAUGAAUGCUGUGAACUGCCGUGUGCCUGCACUCAUGGACCAGAGCUCCAGACUGGAUCCUUUCAAGGAAAACAGAAACCACGAUGGUUGACUCCGUGCCACACACAAGAACGAUGGGAACACAGACCUUUAAACAGUUUGCCUUCCUGCUAGUCCACAGCAGCAACUUUUCACACAGGACCUUUUUUGACACAGGAGCCUUUUUCUCUCAUAUCCAAGGAUCUUGUUUUCCUCCAAAUAUUCUUAAAAAUCUUUUUUACCAGAAUUUGCUGUAAGGUACAAAACUGGAGAAGACUUUAAACUCUUCCAUCCACAGCUGGUUCCUACUGGCCUUUCCCAAUAGCCAGGAUGGAUAAGGUGUGAUUAGUGCCCUGAGGACUCAGAAGAAAACCAUCUUGAACGCUCACUCGUGAUCAUGAGACGCUGCCAGAAUAUCCCUAAGCCUUCUGCUAUUGGGGAAUCAGUGGCAGUGCCCUGCAUGGUGAGGCUGCUCUCAGCCCUCGUCCCUGGGGGGCUUCUAUGUUUGGUCACCACAAAAGCGUGGUAACAACUGUUUGAUGGUGACCACAAAGAGAUAAACAUUGUGGUAUUUAAGAACUGGAGAUAUUUUCAGAGGCUUCUCUAGAACAGAAAGCAUUUCCAGCUGAAUGGCUGCAUAGCAGGCUUGAUAUGGAGCCUUUGGCAGAACUGUUUUUCUAUGAGAAAAAAAACAUUUUUGUCAAGACACAGAACUUUACCUGGUUUUCUCUCUCAAAGAUUUUUUUCCUGGUUUUCUCCCCUUUUCAGCUUGAGAGAUAUUCUGUGUAAAAAUUUUGGCCAAUCAAAGUAAAACACAUGCAAGCAAAAAAGUUGUGAUUUAAAAAAUAUAUUGAUUAAGCGAUGGUAAUAUUUUUUUUUAAAUUGGUUGCUGUGUUCCUAAAAAACAACAGUUCCUAAAAAAACACAGUUUUGAUUUUAGACAGUAAUAAACAAAUAUAUAUAUAUGUUUGUGUGUAUAUUUAUAUAUAUAACUUGUCUUGCUCUGGAAGAAAAAUUAAAAGUAAAAAAAAGAAAAAAUCUUGUUCUAAAAGAAAAAUGCAACACACCUUUAAGUCAGCAAUAUUUUAAUAUCCUGCCUGAAACCAUUCACUGUUGCCCUACCAAAAGCUCCCAUAGUAGGUAUGAUAGGAACUGGCCCUUUCUCUCUGAAUUAAACUCUCAUCAUAGAGGACUAUCUUACGUGUUCCUACAUCAGUGUCUUAACCUGGACCAGAGAAAUUCUUUAAAAUUAAUUUUUUGAUCUUCACCACCAAUUAUACUUCACUUCACAUCAUUAAACUGUUUUGGUGCCUGGACUGAGUUGCUUUUGUUUGAAAUUGAGCUGCAAGGGGCAUUUGGUUCUCAGGAUCAGUCUAAAGCUAUUCUGAAGUGAAACACUCCUUUGAAAUGGGGGUGCCACAUCCUCAAAACCAAAUUUUUUGCUUUACAGAUCCAAUCUUCCCAAACCCCACCAGCUACUUAUGCAGACAGUCAGCAACUGCUACCUGGGUCCUGGGAAAACAAAAGCAGAAGCUGUCCUCUGGACUUCCAUUAAUGAGCACUCAAUCUACAUGACCAGACUGGAGCUGAUCCAGAAUAAACUCCCAAAAUGCCUUUAGUGUGAACAUGCCCUCCUCAGCACCAAAUACUUCACUUUAAGGCUUUGUUCCUGUUGUGCCAUUCUACAAUCUAGCUUAUGUACACACCUGUACAUCACUUCCAGGAGGGGAAAAUACUUGAAUGCACUUUAAAAUAAAGUUUUCCCAAGGUUGAUUCAUUGGAAGCCUACAUUUAAACUCAAGAGACACCAAGUCUCCUGCAUAGGGAAACUAUCACUGAAUUCUUAGAGCAUUCCCAUCUGGUUCCUGCUCUUCAGACAUUGAAACACACACAACCUGAUGUAAAAACAAAACACACUCACCAGGACAGAGGCAAGUGCAGCUUUCUGCAGCCUGCCUGCAUCUGGGAGAGCUUCAAACAGACCCACUUCCUCUGCCCCACCUCUGGUUUGCUCACAACAGGGGUAGUGCACUCUUACCUGGCUUUAUUCAUUUUACUAUCAGGAGUGAGUGAGGACUUGUUCUGUCAGACUUACUAUGUCCAAUCGCACCCCUAAGACUGCCAGAGGCUGUGAUGUAAAGUCCUGGGACUGUCCAGCUUCUAAAAUCAGAUAAAAUAAGAUUUGAAUUUAAUCUGUAUGUCCAAAGGUUUGCUGCACCCCUUGCUGCUCAAAAGCUGUUUCACAUCACCUGGAAGAAGGUAUUCCUCCUAUACCUCUAUUGCACAGGAGUGUGGCUUGUGUCAGGAUGAGUGGUAUUAGCAAACCAGCACUUAGCAGUGGGUAUAUUGUCAAAACUGAACCAUUGAAAACAAACAUUUAAAAUAUAAAUCCAUUUAGAGUCCCCAAACCUCCAAAGGAUUUGGAAACACUU